AUUUUUUUCUUGGUAAAUGUGAAUUAUAUCGAUCAACAAUAUAUACAAAUACACUGGACAUUUCCAGACAAAUCAAAAUCAAGUCAAAUGUCUAUACAACAACACCGAGCAUUCCUAGGUAAAAAUAAAUGAAAAUGAUAAAAUCCAACAAAGUAUUGGAUCAAAACAUUCGGAUACAAAGAAAACAUGACUUUGUAUACGUGUGUUUUGAUCAAAGUUACAAUGCUAUCAAUCUGAGGUAUAAGGUUUUCAAAAAUCUUCCUAUUCCUUACCAUCCAAAUGUGGUAAACUGUCAAAGAAAGUGCAAUACGCUUCACUUUGCUGUGCCAAGAUUUUCCCCUACUUUCCUUCUUGAUCCAUUUGAGAGCGCUAGGAAGUGUGGACAUUAAUCUUUAAAUGCCAACCCAUGCACGGAUUAUGUGCGAAACUAAUUUGCUAAUUGGACAAUUGAAAAACAAGUGCUGAGCAGUUUCUUCCAUUCGUUCACAUAAACAACAAUUACGGUCAAUUUGAAGAUAAUGUAAUCUGUCCUUCGUAAGUAGUUUCGAUUUGGUUGCCAACCACAAGAUAAAUACAUGCUUAGGUGUCACAUAUGUGUUCCAAACUGAACUAGCCCAUAUUACCUUAGUUCCCCUCGGCCGAAAGAAAUCAUAUGCAGCAGAAUUGCAGAAUUUGUCACCAAACUUCUAGUUGGACAGCUUAUGAACAGCAGCCUCAUGAGUGUGAUCGGCCCCCGGAAUUUUAUCUCUGAUCUCCAACAGUUUUUGGAAAAGAGAGUCAUCUUUCCUCAUUGUAUACAUCCAAAUGUCACUCCCCCAAAUUACACUUGAUCGUAGCGAUUUUUAUUUGUGGAUCGUCGUGAGUAGCAUUCAAUAUCAUGAUUGUGUCUCAGAACUAAAAACCUUAGCAAGAUGGUUGAAUGUUAAGUUUCUGUCUAUUAGGUUUGUAGACAAAAAUAUUUGGUCCCGACACAUUUAAUGAAAAAACAUGCCAGUUGGCCCCAAAACAAUCCAAGGCCAAAG
rnacentral:lncRNA from 1 species